rnacentral:sRNA from 1 species
CAUAUAUAUAUUUCUAUUGUUUGAUUAAUGAUAUUAAGCACUUUACAUAAUACAGGAUAACCUGCUUUUAAAGAAGUCUAAUGGUUAUUGAUUAACUAAGAUCAAUAAUGUUUUAAGAAUGAUAUUUAAAAGAUAUGACACAUAUUUUAUAGCCAAGUUUUUAUUUGUGUCUGAAUUCUGGAUUGACCAAUUCCAUUGUAUCAGUAUUUUUUCAUUUUUGUGUAUUUAAAAUAUUAUAAAUGAUCCAUGUUCUUCCAAGUACACAGUACCGCUGUAAGCAUCCUCCCUGGCUAUAUACUUAGGCCACCGUGUAUAACCUUUUAGCAAGCUCAUUUAAAGUUUUAUUUAUUAUUAAAAAAAACACACUCAAUGUUUAAAUAAGAAAGUAAAAAUUUCUCAAGUGUAUUAAAUGUAUCAAAGUAAGAAAACUAAGAUUUAUUAUUUUUUUUUUACAAAGAAUACUAUGAAUUCCCAAAAAAAACCCAUUUGAGAUAUCUUGAGUACUAAGUAGGAAGAAGAGUAUAAAAAAAGUAAAACUGAUAUCGGUAAGGUAUAACACAGGUAUGUUAUUUUUUAUUAAACAUAAAUUCUUUUCAUGACAUUUUUAAAAUCAAUAACCAUAAAAUAUACAUACAUAUGUUAUAUAUUAUAUUUUAUAUAUGUAUCUUAAUUGCAAAAGAAAAGGGAUUGGAAGAUGUAACUGAAAAAUGUUAUUUUUUAGCGAGGUCGAUGAAUUUGCAAAUUGUGUUUUCUGUGGAAAUAGACGCAAAGCAAUAUAUUUGUAAAAUAAAAAAUGAUUAUG